ACGCUUUUCAUGCGUGUGAUGGAAUGAAAUCCAAUCUGUAAGGACAAGACUGCUUACUUGCGUAGGAAAGCAGUGUAUUAUAGAAUGAAGAGAUGCGCAAAAGCUGUCACUUUAAAGUUGCGAAAGACAGUGAAGGAAUGCUGAAUUUUGAAUGUUUAUGCAGAUGAAAGAUGGUUUUAAAAUUUCUCAUGAAGACCCAUGCUAUUUACUAUACUUUCUGGGUUAAAAAAAUGAAAAGCUUAUUCCUUGCAUUGGUGCCUCCAUUAGUCACCUCAAAUUGGUCGAUAGAGUGCCAUAAAAUUUUUUCCACUAGGACCAUUUGAAACUUACUUGACUUGGAGGGGAUGGGUGCAGUGAAUCCCUACACCUUAGGCGUGAAUACAGGAAAAUCCAGAGGCAGAAGGUUUUGAGUGGUGUCGUUCUAGAAAGUGCUCUAAAAACUGUAGGUAUAUGUACAUUUUGAGUAUUUUUUUCUUUUCAAGAAAACAGAACAUGGAGCGAGUAUUGUAAGACAUUACGACGAGGAAAUAUAUUUUUUGACUGCUGCAAUCGAUUAAGUAAAUCUCUUGUAUUUGCAAGUCAAAGUAUCAAAGUGUAAGUUCCGAUGUGCGACAUACGAAUUGAUUCUGCUGACACAGUCAUUGCCCAAUUUUAUCUUUUUAAUAGCUGAUGCUAUCAUGAAUAUAAUAUGACAUUAUUUGAAUCUUAUUGAGCUCACCUUGCACCAUGAUUGAAUCGAUUUUGGCGUAUUAACAGAUGCACAAAAUAUCCACAAUUGCGACGGUUGAAUGAACCACUACACUGCUGCAAAGUUAAAACCGGCAGCUACCGCACGUGCCAACUCACGGAAAGCACAAAUUUAUUUCUUUUUUCAUUUACGUAGUGCGUGCGAUGAAAUUAUUGAGGUUUCAAUAUUUCGUAACGGUGUGAUUAUUCACAAAUCCUUAGCCACCAAACAAAAAUUACACGAGGCCAAGUUAGAAAACCAACUUUUCGGUGUAAAAUCAGAAAACAAUUAUAUCCCGUGGUUUGCAGUUAUAAAUAGUACGAAGUAGUCGCAAUAUUGUUAAAAAAGCAAAAAUCGCGUCUUAUCCUUUAAAAAUACUCUAAUCUAAGAUGGAGCACUGAAUUUAAGGCACAUUAAAAAGACGAAAUAACUAAAAAUGUAGCACUAAAAAUUAUGACACAAAUCCAACCGAUUUUUUAGUAGCACUCGAAUUCCGCGCACGGCUUAGAAACAAGCCUUGCGCUUCCGCGAUCUUUCACUUGUGGACGGAUCAAAAUUUCGUCGAUAUUUUUCCAUGAAGAUCGAUUUUGCUUCGAUUGAAAUCUUAAUCGCACGAGACGAACGCGCGCGUGCCGCGAUGUAUCUCAAGUACGCGCCGAAGACGCAAGGAAGAGUGCUAAUGGGAUCGCGGCUCAGUGGCUGGAGCUUAAUCGACUGAUAAGCGGGGGAUCCGAUAGCGAACCGGGGCGAUUAGCAAAAACGCGAAAACGCGCGAGCGGCUUGGCGAGCGCGAGACAUGGGCGCGCGGUGCGGGUUUGUCACAGGCCGAGUGCACACUGACAAGACACCGCGCCGCGAGUGUUUUCGUCUUGUUUGCGUCCUUGCCCCCUUCGCCGCGCCCCCACUCCCCCCGCAGCGGAUGCGUGCGAGCCGCGAGAGUGUGUGAAUUUAAUUAAACGUGAAAUCGUCACUCGUGUGACGCUCUUUUUUUUUGUUGCAGUUUAUUGAACACGUCCGUGGUAACGUCGGGGUGUUGCCAUGCGUGGAUCCCGUCCGCGGCGCCGGUGACGGCGAUGAGUGAUGGAUGUCGCGGUUUUCGGGGAUGUUUGUCAAACCGGGGGAAUUGCUCCUUGGCCGCGAUUGUCGUUGCUGAGCGAAGCGAUAUCGAUCUCGCCAUGGGUCGAAAAGUGAGCUUGACAAAUAGCGGCGUGAUUUGUCGAUCUUAUCGAGUACGCCUGCGUAAUAUUUUUCAAGGAACACGAUAGAGCUUGCAGUGUUAAGAUAUUUUGGAGUGAAAUAUGCACUUCACAACGGAACAUAAUAUUUUUCCCUGAAACCCCACGUGAUAUGAGUGAGGAGUGAGAUACACAAAACAUACGUUAAGUUUUGAUUCGCACUCAAAUAAUUAGACCGCGUAUAGCAAAGAGGAACCAAGCCAUAUCAGCUGUUGCCAAAUUUAAUUUUUUACAAGAAAAAUGUGAGCGGAUUUUUUUGAAAACGUCAAGGAAUAUAUAUACUUCGUGCUAUGCAAAAAAUUCACUAAAAUUUGCAUAAAAAUCCGCACAACCGUUUUACAUAAAAAAUUAAAUUGCCCGAUUGAAUUUGGCAAUAGCUGAUGUGGUUUGGUUCCGUUUUGCUUAAAGCGGUCCAAUUC
rnacentral:lncRNA from 1 species